AAGUCGUAACAAGGUUUCCGUAGGUGAACCUGCGGAAGGAUCAUUAAUGAAGUUUGGGCUUCGGCCCUCUCUCUUCUACACACUUGUGAAUCUACACCGUUGCUUUGGCAGGUCUCCGGAAGGGUUUCAAACCCCGGGCGGUCAGAUCGAAAGGUGCCUGCCAAGGACAUACUUAAACCCUUUUUUAUCGUCUGAAUUUGUUUUAAACAAAAUAAAAUAAAA
rnacentral:misc_RNA from 1 species